ACGGGAAGAAAAGAAAAAACAAAGAGAGAAAGAGAGAGAGAGAAAACAAACAACAGAUGAGCAAUGGGGUUAACAUGAGGAGAGGAGGAGGAGGUGAUGGAGGGAUGAGAGGAGGAGUGGAGCUGGAGGAAAGGAGACUCUUUAGCCAGGGGAAAGGGGAAAUAGGGUCAAAUAGGCCGAGGGAAGGAGAAAUGGCACCACUGAGCCGAUACAGGUGAGAUAAUAAAUAAAUAAAUAAAUAAAUUCUCUUUUUGAAAGGGCUGAGAUAUUAAUAUUAUCUAUUAAUGUGAGAUAAGUGUUGGCUUCAGAGUCUCAGUUUCCCCUGCUGGGCUGGAGAGCUAACGGGAGCACUGGAAGACAGUAUAGGUAUCAUUCAGUAACACAGAGUCACAGUGAUGAAGAGCAGGAGGCAUGUUGACCAUCUUAGAGCAAAUCAGAUUUAAAGGGACAGUUCACCCCAAAAUCAAAAGCAUAUUUUCCUCUUACCUCUGAUGCUGUAAUGGUUUGGUGUGAGUUGCAGAGUGUUGGUGACAUCGGUCGUAGAGAUGUCCGCCUUCUUAUUUAUGUAAUAAAACUAGAUGACACUCAGCUUGUGGUGCUCAAAGCCCCAAAAAAUACAUUUCAGAUACUAAAUAGCAAUGUCUCUUUCCAGAAAUCAUGAAAUCAUGACCUGGUUACUCAAGAUAAUCCACAGACCUUGUUGUUUGCAGUUUCGUGUAGGAAGUAUUUUCUCUCCACAUACCCCAACUGUAUCAGUGCACAGAAGGAAAUGUGCAUCUCCUCAUCGAGCUCAGAUAUUCAACCCAAGCCUGAUCAGGCUUGACCUGACCCGCCGGGUUCAGGCUGGGCUGGGCUGCAAUGCCCUGGGGGGGCAGCAGCUGAGAGAGGAAGAGUGAUGGGACAAUGAAGCAAUAUAGUGGAGAGCUAGGGUAGACAGACUGCACAGCCUGCUCUUCCAAACCCAUCGUGGAUGAGAUGACAAUACUAUUGAAAUAAGGAAGAGAAGAAAGAGAAGUGGUGCAUGGAAACACGUCAGCCCUUAGCUUGUAAUAAAUGUAUAUAAAAUAUAAUAUAUAUAUUUUUUACCAUUGAAAUGCUUGUUUUUAAUCAGGCUUGAGCCCACCACUGCUGGGUGGCUUGGUCAGAAACUGUGUGGGUUUAUGUCAGGCCUAAUAUUUUGGGCCUGAUCAGAGCUCCAUCUCAUGGACAAGAGAUUUGUGCUUGUGACAGUGUGAGAUGUAAACAUUAAUGGCGUGCUGAGCUGUAACGUUAGCUAGCUCAGUGAUGCAAGGUGAGCUAGCAGAAAAUGCAUGCAUCUUCUGCGCAGUGAUGCGGUUGGCAGGUGUGGUUUGGUAGAAAGAAAAUACUUCCUACAUGAAACUGCUCGCAACAAGGGUUGUGGAUUAUGUUAAUUAACCAGGUCAGAAUUUCAGGAAAGAGAUGUUGCAGUUGAGUUUAUGAAAUUUUGUUUUGUUUUAUUUAUUUAUUUAUAUAUUUAUUUUAUUUUUUAUUUUUUACUUUGAGCACCACAAGCCGAAUGCCAUCUAGUUUCAUUAUACUGGAGAGAAGGGAGACAUCUCUGCGAACGGUAUCUCCAACAAUCGGCAACUCACACCAACAUUACAACUGCACUGAGAUAAACCUUCAUCCAUCUAACUGGGUUCAAUUCUUAGUUUCAAAGGAGAAAUCCAGUAUUUUGCACUUUGAGCCUCAUUUCUGGGUUGUUUAUGGUGAAAUGGAGUGGCUAAGACCAAAACAAUCGAGAUGCAAGCCACAGCUUGCUACGAUUUUUAUGUCAGAACAUCAAGGAACACCACUAACCACUCAGUGAGUUUCAUGGCUUUGAAAACGAACGUUCAGGGCAGAGUCCUGCGCUGGGUACCCGACGGGAACCCGCAAAAACAGCUGAUUUGCGGGUGGUUUUUAAAAAAAUUUUUUUUCCCGGGUUCAGAUCAUAACAUGCGGGUCGGAUCGCGGGUUUUAGAUAAACACAUCAGUCAUUAGUUCGGUAAACUACAGAUAACUAUCUUGGUCAUUAUUUACUCUCUGAGGAUCGCCUCCGCUAUUUCGCAACGGUCAUUGGUUCAGCUGUUUACACGCGUUUCACCAUCUAAUAACACAAUUUGUGAUUGGACGACAGAAUCAACAUGGCUGCCACCGUCUAACAAGCGCCGCUUCCAAAACAGUAAAUAAUUAUUUAGGUAUUUGAGAAAUAAGUGGAUAAAACGUACAACUAUCACUUUAUAAUGUUUCUGAAGUGUUUCCCUGAUGGAUUACUUCUCUCCUCGAUGGAUUCUAAAAACACGUGACGGCUCGUAACUGCUGAACGUCGCUCUGGACAGAAAGUAAGUCUAUUAUUACACAUGUAAAGUUCCUUUACAUAGAUUAAAAGUUUAAAAGCAUUAAACGUAACAAACGAGUGCUUUUACACUCGUAUGGGAGAAGAACACAGAGGGUUGAUGAUGGAGCUGAAGUCAGGUUUUUAUUGUGAGAGCUGCUUCAUUCAGGUCGUUGUUUACUUACUGGCACCUUAACUGUGGCGAUAUGCUGUUCAAUAUUCAGCCAAUAUGACCCAAAAUGAUUACUCUAAAUCCGGGUUACGGGUCGGGCUGCGGGUCGUGUUUCAACGGGUCGGACCAGGUUGCGGUACUAACUGGCCUGAUGCGCGGGUUUGCGGUUUGGGUGCGGGUUUGUACGUCCCCGGGUCGGGUCGGGGUGGAUCUUGAAAACUGGACCUGUGCAGGACUCUGGUUCAGGGUGGUUUCAGGACAGAUUCACACAUGGCGAUAGACAGCAGUGUUAAGCCAGGCAGGGGAAAGCCAAAUUCUCCGAAAAUGAGCAAUCGUCACUAUUUUGGUCUUAGCCUUCUAUUUCACCAUAAACAACCCAGAAAUGGGGCUUAAAGUCCAAAAUGCCGGACUUCUCCUUUAAAGAAGUUUUAGUAUUUUUUUAAAUCCUUUUUUAGUACAGCAGCAAAAAAAACACUUUAAUGUACAGAGGUUAGGAAAAGGGGGAGAAAGGUUUUCAAAUGAGUCGUAGUUGGCUGGUGCUUAUGUUGCCAGAUACAGCUAACACCUGCACAGAAGCGCAUUGGCUAUUUGGGGUGAAUAAUCAACUACAAACUCACUAAAGCAAUCCCUUUUCAAAAGUUUUUGGUACAUCUAGGCUCAUGGAAUUAACCUCCUGUGCUUCUAUAGAUAAUGAUUGUUAGUGUUUGUCAGAGUUUGAGUUCUCUUAUCCAGAUUAUUACAAGACUGUUUUGUCGGUAUGGAUGUCUUCCAAAGCUCCUGUUAACGCUCCAUCAUAUCAACAUCCAUCACAACAACAUCCAACAUCCAUCUGUUAAGACAAAGGCUCUUUGUGAUUUCAAAUAUGGAACGUUCAUGAUGAGGGUGGGAACAACCCAGAAUCAAGCAUUAAACCAUGCAAGGGUUAUUCAGACAAUAAACUGCACGCUUCCAUGUAACAGCUAACCUACACAUGUACAGUUGUGUAAACAUCCAUUUGCCUGUGAGUGUUUCUGCUGAGUCAGACACUGGGUGAGAGCAGAGCUGCUGUCUGCUGAGGGGGCAUGCACGUGGAGAUGCCGUGUGCUAAAAGCAGUGUGCCGAGCUGAGCUGAGCCGAGCAGGUCCGAGCCGAGGUUGACCAGAAGUGUGACUGUGCUGUGAGGAGUGCUAGGAUGCCGGGAGAGAGGGAGG